rnacentral:lncRNA from 1 species
UGAAGACCUAAUGGAAUUAAUAAAAGAAAACAAAUAUUGUUCCCUUCCCUGAAGCUGUCUUUUGAUAAGAGUAUUACAUAAGUCUUAUUCUUCUUCGUGACCUGGGUCCCUGUGUCUCAGAAGCUCGGUUCCAUGAGUCACUGCCAAAUAGAGGGCUGCGAAGAGAACCUCAGAUUCCUGUAUUGUGAAAUUCUCAUACAAUCAAAGAAGUAUUGGCUGGAAUGGGCAUCUGGAGCUUGCCUGGGAAAUGAAACCUUGUCCAUGUGA